rnacentral:lncRNA from 1 species
UCACCAAGAACACUAUUAAAAGAACCGACGUCCCAAAACAUUGAACAGAUUGAACUACCUCAAAUAUUCAAUAAGAAAUAAACCUAAAUAAGUUAUUUAACAUACAAAAUGAUUAAGUGGAGUGACAAAGAAUACUGAAUUCCCUUGGAACUGGCAGAUGUCCAUCUUCCAAUCCAAAAAUGUUACAGUAUCCAUGGGAGAGCUAAAAUUUAGUGAUCCGAUUAUUUAUCUUGCCCUUCUACAACUUAGUGUUGACUUUGGUCUCUAAAUCCAACUCAUAAGAACACCGAGUUUUAGUUAUUUUCUCUAAAAAAUUUCAAUAUUUAAGUAUCUCAUAUUCUUCAACUACAAUAACAACAUAUUCGUAGUCCGAUAAGUGGGGUCUAGGGAGGGUGAGAUGUACAUAGAACUACCCCUGCCUUUGUGGGGUAGAGAUGUUUCCGAUGUUAUUUGCUAAGGUCAAGCUUUUUUUAGAUCAAUGUCAAUGCACUUUCAGAACCUUAAAAAAAAUUAUUCUCCUUAACUGAAGAGAUCUAUGUAUCACCUUAGAGCCUACGAAUUCAUAUGGUCUUCUUAUAAUUGCAACAAACUCAACUACGAAAAACCAUUCCCAAAAAAUGAAGGCAGUAGACUUCUCCUAGAGUACUAAUUGUAGCGGAUUGAUUUUACCUAAAGUGACUGCCGCAGAAAACUCUGCCUAUGAGAACUUAGGAAAGCAUAGUCCAGUUCAAAUUCAGAUAAAGGAAAGCUGUGUUGGUUAACAUCCAAUACAAAAAUAGGCUGAUUAUCAUGAAACCUCUGUAUACGGUCACUGCCGACACCAACUUGUUUAGGAUAAAGACAUAUACUAGAUUCAAAUUGAUUCCCCCCUAAAUGAGUAUCUCAGUAUUAUAUCAUUCUUUGAAGGUGAAGAUCUUAAGAGGGUGACCGUAUGUUUCUGCCUAGUCCAGUACAUGAUCUGUUUAAGAAAGCUUACGCAAUAACAAGCACCAAUGUAAAAUGCCAACCUUACAGAUUGGAGAUGUCUCCAACUUCACAAAAGAUUGGAGAUGUGUUUGGCUAAGACUACUACCAAUACAUCAAAAUGUGCAUCUAAGAACUGUGAUAUCACAAAGAAGGCGUGGCAAGGACCAAUUGAAGGAACCUCAAUAAGAAGAUGAUGGGCAUGAACAUAGGAUUACCAAAAAGUACAACUUACUUCUGCAGGAACAUUCCUUUUAUCUUCUAGAUCAGCCUUGUUGCCAGCAAGAGCCAUGAUCAAGUUAGGAUUACCUGCCACAUUUUCAGAAAAUUGCUUAUUUACUGAAACCCCAUCUAAACGGGGUCAUGGUUAUUUUAAAACAAAAUGUAGAUCAUUAAAAGCAAAGUUGAGACUAAGCAGAAAAAUAAAAGACUGAUUUUUCCAGACUUUUCUAGACAUCGUAAAGAGAACUGUUUGGAUAAGUUACUCGAAAUACAAGAAGAUUACAAUUUUCAAUUUUUAUAUCUAUAUAAAGUAAGUAGGUUGAAAGGAUGAGCACCUUGCUUCUGCAAUUCUUGCACCCAUUUCUUUGCCCUUGAAAAUGAAUCCUGAAUUAGCAGAAAACAAAUGAGAACAUCUCAAUUUAGAUGCGCAGACAUAUGCAUAAACAUGCAGACAUCCAAAUUACAGAAUCAUAAUCAUGCAAAGCCGAAGCAAGAUCAGUAAAGCAAACGUCAAAGAGAACAUGAGUAAGAACUCUCCCUCAUCAGUCCUAAUUCAAUGAAAACAAAAAAACUUCAUCCAAUGCUUCUCUCAUUUCAUGAGAAGUCCUCCCACCACUAAGGAACAAACUUUUCCACGAAAUCAGAUAUUCGAAAAUAGUAAACUGCAUUUUCUGCACUUUUUGUUUGACACUUCUAAAGUGGGUAUUAAAUACCUUAACCAUCUAAUUUUGUGAAAAAAAUGGGGACCCCCUCGUAACUGCAUUAAUUUAUAGACAGGGGCGGAGCCAGCCCUCUUUAGGGGUUCGUCCGAACCCUCUUCGACGGAAAAAUAUACUAUUUAUACAUGAUUAAAAUUAUUUUUUAGGUGGUUAUAGUAGGUGUUGAACCCCCUUCGACUUAGUUUUCUUUUAAUAUUGAACCCCCUUACUUGAAAUCCUGGCUCCGCCUCUAUUUAUAGACAGCGAAAGUCAUUUGCAAACAGUGGCGAAUUUAUGUGUUGAAAACGAGUCACGUGAACCCGUGGUCAUCCAACUAAAUUCGACAUACUAUUUUAUAAUUCUUAAAACAAUCUAGUAUUAUCUGAAGGUACUCACGGUCAAAAGAGAUUGAUUGGUGUACUGGUUGAAAGCCGGUUUAAACUCCUUUAGGUCAAGGGAUCGAAUCCAUUUACUGCUAUUUUUUUUUUUUUUAGCUUUUUUCUAAAGCAACCUUCUUUAUAAAGCUAACCCCUUCAUUUUACCUAAAUUGAUGAUAUUCUUCUGUGAUCAUAUAAUUAAUUAUCUCUUGCUCGCCAAGUUGUUGUUACUAUAAAAGUUUAUAUCUUUAUCUUAAAAAGCAAUGGUGCAUACAUCGUCUUGAAAUCCUAGAUUCGCCUCCGUUUGCAAACCAGCAUUAGAUUUUUUCCCCCUAAUUGGCUCUAAAAUCUGCCCUUUUCAACCUUACAAAUGCAUGAAGUGAAGCAAACAUUUGUCCUAAUGCGAUCAACCGUAAAAUAAUCUAAUAAACCAUCAUUGAAAACACUUAUAUUACCCAUUUGAAUAGUAAGUUCUCUGAAUUGGAAAUUGUUUCUUACCGAGCUAGUGAUAUCAUAUACAAUAAUCGCAGCAGCAGCUCCUCUAUAGUACAUAGGCGCUAAACUAUGGUACCUUUCCUGCCCGGCAGUAUCCCAUAUCUCAAACUUCACCGUAGCAUUAUUAACAGCCACUGUUGACGAAAAGAACGCCGCUCCGAUCGUCGAUUCCUGUAUUAUCAAUAAUCAACAUCAUCAUAAACUCCGAAAUUACAAAACCCUAAAAUUGUCAAAAUUGAAGGAUCAAAAGAAUACUUGGAAUUCAAGGAAUUGACCCUUUACGAAUCGUAUAACCAAGCUUGAUUUACCAGCUCCCAUAUCUCCUAACAACACCUUUAAAAAAAAAAAUCAAAUAGAAUUUUAUGGUUAUAGAAUUAAAAUCAUAAAAUUAAAUUCAUUAUCAAAAAAAAAAAAAAAAAAUACCAAUUUUGCAUUGAGGUUGGUGUGAGCAGUGGAUGCCAUGAAUAAAACGAAUUAAAGAUUGGUAAAAAUUAAAAAGCAAUAAGCGAAAUUGGAGAAUUUAGAGAGGGAGAAGGAUUUGUUUUUUUGUUAAUGAAGAAAGUGAAGAAGAAAUAACAAAAUUUGUUUAGAAAGCAAGAGAAAUGGACACCUAAUUAUAAUAUUCCACUGUUUCUUUUUGGACUUUUCUUCGCAUCAUCUCAUCCACCGACCGGACUUUUUUAAUUCUCUUUAUUUUAUUUUUUUCUAACUUGCACAAAAUAGAAAAUAUAAUUUUUUUAUUUUUAAAAAUUGUUGGAAUUUUGACGUCUUUUUAAAAAUAAAUAAAUAAAUAAUGCAGAAAUAAAUUUAACCAUUUUAAAUUUUGACCUCCUUUAAAAAAGAAAAAGUAGUGCAAAAUUUUUUUUAAAAAAAAAUCCAUAAUUUUAAGUGAAAUUUUGGGAGUUGUCAUGAUUUCUUAUUUGAUUUUAAAUAGAAUUUGUGCUAAGAGCAAAUUAUUUUUUAUAGGCGAUUUUAGUUGCAAAAUUUUUCUUAGUUAAGUUAGAAUAAUCGAUAAAAUUUAGCUAUAAAUUUAGCGAAUUGCUAAGAUAUUUUUAAUAUUUGUGACUAAUAUGUAUGUACAAAAAUUUUAGUAGAUUAUUUUUUUUUCAAAAUCGAUCCAAAUUAUUGUUAUUCGACUUUCAAUUUGAUAUCCAACAUUUUAAUAGUAAUUUCAAUAAUUUUAAGUUUAUUUGACUCGACUCAAACAUUUAAAAAUUAAUAGACCCAUUUUGUGUUCUUUUACUAACAAGAUCUAUAAAAACUCAUAGUGUUCUUCAAUUAAAAUCAAUUUAUAAGAAUCACAAAUAAAUUUAGAAAAAUCUUCAAUUUACUAUAUCACCCGUGAUAUCAACUUUUAAAAAAAGGCUAUCCUAUGUAAAAAAUUUAUUUUCUUUCUUUUGAAUGAUGUUAAAAGUGAGAAUAUAUUAUAUCCAGUUAUCAGAUUGUUUAUUGUAACUUUUUAAUUAUUGAAUUAUAUUUUUAAUUAUAAGUUGCAGCCUAGGAUAUAAAAAAUUACAAUAAAAAUAUUGUGAUUUUUAUAUGAAUUUAUUUGAAAACUAGGUUUAGACCCAUUACAUACACAAACUCCUUAUGUGUAUAACGUUUCAUUUAGUUUUUUUCAACUUAGUUUAAACCAUGUUAUAUCAAUAUCAUAUACAAAAUGUCACAUUUGUAUGAAAUAAAUAUAUAAACUAUGGAUUGUGAUACUCAAUUUAGCUAUACCAAUUUAUAUGCUCAUUCCUUAUCUCUUUGAAUCAAGAUUUUGAAUCUAUAAAAAAUUUCUUAAUCGUUGUUUUCAAAAACAAUUAAAAAAUAAGGUUUCAUAAUUUGUAUGAUGAAGAAAUUAAUUUUGAACUGAAAGAAAUUUAUGAGAAAAAAAAUUGUGGAGAGGAGACUAUAACAUAUUAAUUACUGCAUUUUUUUUCUAUGGAAGAUUUCAAAUAAUUUUGAGAAAAUAUAUUUAUGAAAAAAGUAUAGAAUAAAAUGGUAUCGAAAAAAAAAGAAAAACUAUAAACAACAGAAAUCCCACAUAUAAUGAAAGUAAUUACAUAGGAUCCCAAAUUUAGUUUCUCUUUUCCAGAUUUUAAAAAAUAUAUAUACAUGUCUCGGUAUCUUAUACAUUAGUGCGAGGUAAUCGUUUUGUCUAAAAUUAAGGAGAUAAAAUUAGAUAAGGUAAACUGUUUUUCCAAUAAUUAAGGAAAUUAAAUCAGCCAUCAUUAUUCUUUAACUUAAUUAACGAAACUCAUUAAUUUACUGAUUUGGUGGAUCCUUAAAAUCAGUAACAUUAAAUCAAAUUGAAAAAAUAUUUGAUAAUAUAUGAUAUUAACAUUUCUAAUGUAUGAGGUUAACAUAAUCAAGGUAAGUUAUGCUACUAUUUUUAAUAUAUAAUAUUAUCAUUAUAAUGUAUGAGGUUAAGUCAGUCAAAUUAAGUUAUUUUUUCAUACUCUAAUGUAUCAAGUUACAAUUUUAAUAUAUAAUGUAAAAAGUUAUUUCUCCAUUCUAAUAUAUGAGGUUACAAUUUUAAUAUAUAAUGUAAAAAUUUUAUGUAUAGGGUUAACACAAUCAACGUAAGUGAUAUUAACAUUCUAAUGUAUAAUGUAACCAAUCUAAUGUAUAAUGCAAUCAAUUUAAUGUAUUAGGUUAACAUCGUUAAGAUAAGUUUUGUUAUGUAUGGGGUUAAGACAGUCAAGGUUAUAUUGUCAUUCUAAUGUAUAAUGUAAUCAAUCUAAUGUAUAAUGUAACUAAUCUAAAAGGAUAGGAAGAAGCUGGAGGAGGUGAUUUGAGAAUUUGGGAGAUUCUAUAGUUUAGGUCACUGCGGGGAAGAGCGUAUCCUCGGGAAUCAGUUUGGAGUGUAGGGGCGCCAACUUCGACAGUGAAUGAAUGGCCAUUUUCGGCUUCUACCACAACCAUGUCGUUGUAUUUGAUGGCGAAGUGGCGAAGCUGUUGCAGGAAGGUUAGCUGGAGAUGGUGGAGCAAAAUAUGAAGACGGCGAAGCAGUUACUGAAAGGGUAGCCAGAGGUAUGGGCUUCAAUUAGCCUCGAAAAUAUUUCCUUUCUUUGACAACAAAUCACAAUCUUGUUAAAUAAACAAGUUGCACCAAUCAUGCCUUCUUCAGAUCUUCUUUCCCUCAAAAAGAAUUAUUCACACUCUGAUAUUUUAUAAAAAAAUCAAUAAAUACAAUUACGGUGGAGCAAUAAUGUAACUGAAAAAUUUGAAACAAGCUUGAUUUUAGACAUAUAAAAGGGAAUACAAUUAAGGAGCAAAAGACGGAUAAAUAUGGAGUAAUAUAUGGAUGUUUUAGUAUGUAUGAGACGGAAGAGAGAGAAAGACUAAAAGGAAGGGAUUUUAUAUAAUUAAUAGGGGACUUUUGUAAUUACUUUUCAAAAUAGGAAUUUUAUGUAAUAAGUAAUAGUUAACUUUGUAUCUAUGUAACUUUUAGUUUUUUGAUUUUAAAAGAAUUUUUUAUUUUUUUUAAAAGUUGCCAUUAAUGUAAUCUAAGAGUAUUGUUUUUGAUUUUUUUUCCUAAGCUAGCCAACCUAAUUGGGGCCAGUAAUUAUCAGUGGUCAUACAUGCCCAACGUCGGCACCUUGUGAGCCUGCAGGAGACCUCGCUGCAGACCCUUAUGCUUUUGGUUCUCUCUUUUAGCAGGUAAAUUUGUUACAGUAACUCAUUUCACGUCGUUUAAGGUGUUUUAGAAUAUUAAUUUGGUAUAUACCGCUAAAUGCAAUGCAGAACCAAUUUCCUGUUCAAGAAACCUUGGGUUGUAUACUUUGAGAUUUUGCAUGGUCAGUCGAUCAGAAAACUCGAUAUUUAUAGUUUGAGAUUUUUGCCUGGAGACAUAAGCGUUAAUUUAAUUAUUUAUAUAAAGUAAUAGUACAAACUGGAACACAUCACUUAAUUAACUUGAAAUGAAACUUGCAAAUACUAAGCGAUUAUUUGUCUUUAAUCGCUGUUAUUCUAGAAGAUACUACUUAAGCAAAAAAAGUUCUUUCAAAUUAAACUAGCAAAUUCAGAGAAAUCAUAAUCACAUUCUUGAAAUCUGGAGAGGAAAUGCAGCUUCGAGGGCCUCGUCCCUAUAGGAAACAGCCUGAACCAUUUCCAGACCUCCAUGUCUUUUGAUGAGAUGUCGGCGGCACGUUUCACCAGCCAUAAUUCCAGCUUCAUACGCACCAUGAACCGACCCCUGAUGAUCAUCACUGCUCACAGCUUCCCCUCCAAAGAAUAGAUUACCAAUUGGUGCCCGAAGCCUAUCGUAAGCAUCAGAUGGUUUUCCAACCAAGUCAUAAGAAUAACACCCAAGGGUGUCCGGAUCCGUACCCCAGCGAGAUACUAGAUACUGAACCUGUACAAUGUACCAGAUGAUUAACUACCAGCGCAACAGCUAUCUGUUGCUUACGAUUGCUUCUGUGCUAGCAUUCUAAACAGAACACAGUGUUUUAACUAGUUUACGAUGUAGGAGUGUGUAUCUAAUCAGAUGCAGGAUUGCAUGUAGUCUUUGCUUGUAAUCAGUGAAAGAGAACAUGCAUUCCCGCCUUUAAUCAAUGUAGAAAGAAAAUCUUUGAAGUAAAAUAAGAAACUAAAAGUAAGUGAUAGAAGAUGGAUGUUCUUCCUCAUUUUUCCUUCUAUUUUUAUAUUUCGCUCUUUUCUAUCCAAUUGUUUUGAAGGAAAAGUUUGAAGGAACACAAGUAUCAAACUUUAAUUAUCAACAUGAAAUGUGCACUCACCAAUUGAACUAAAAAUAGACCAAAAAUUAUCAUGUGUGCAACACUUAAGAAAUUCUGUCCUUUGUCAUCCAUGUACCUAAGAGUUAUAACUCCCCCAGUAUAAAAGAGCAGAGAUUACUUACAGGCUUAGUGGCAUCUGGGAAUAUCUUCUUCAACUGCAGCAUUGCAAACUCAACAGCGGAUUCAUCUGAUAAUUUCUCGAGGUCGCAAGCAAGUCUUCCAGCAGCCAUAUAAACAAGGACCUGAUGUCCUGUUGCCUUGUGCAGGUUAAGAAAAUAGCCACAAGCAUAUGAAGUGGGUGCAACAACACCUAACAAUUCCACGUUUGGCCAAAAUACGUUAUCAAAUCGUAAUGCAAUCUUGUUUUCAUUGCCUACACCAAGAUCUGCUAUUGCAGAUUGCUUCCAUUCUGGCAAUUUCGGUUCAAACUCAAUCAAGUUGGCUUUCAGAACACCAAGAGGCACAGUUACAAUAGCAGCAUCCGCAAUAAAAUUUCUCCCGUCCUCAACUGUAACCAUCACCUUAUUAUACCCAUUCAUAAUCCUCUUGACCCUAGUAAAAUUAGAUCCAUACAAAAUAAUUAGUUUCUUGUAAAAUAAUUGGAAAGUACUUUCUAAACAAUGGUUUGAAAAAUACCAUAGAGGAAGAAACAGGAAAUAUUCAUGUUUGGCUGUUGUGUAACUAGAAAAGAACUCUAUCGAGGAAACAAACAACAUUUGGUUUUAAUAUCUCAGGAAAUCGGGUAACCAGAAGUUUCAGAAAGUUGACCUCAUAUCUAAAAAAAGAAAUAGUAUUGUAGAAAUUCUGAUGGUUUAACAGUCAUUGCAAAUGUAUUGAGAAACAAAGAAAAAUCUGCACCUGUGAUUUAGACGGAUAUCAAUGUCUUUGGAUAAUGCCUUUAUAACUGGGUGGUAACCUUGCACCAUAAGUCCAUGGCCACCAGUGAGAACUUGUUCCUGUACGCAAAAUAUAACCAUCUAUAUCACAAGGAUAUAUAUAUAUAUAUCAAAUCGUUGUGCCCAAUUGGCAAUGUGGGAGUAGGUUGAAAUAAGUGACUGGUAGCUAUAACAACAUCUUGCAAAGCCCUUUUUAUUGCUUCAAAAAUUUCUUACUUCGCAAUAAGACCUUAACUGAGCAAGAUAAUGAACUUGGAAACUGCAUCAACCACCUAAUAAACUGCUUAAAGUAACAGCAAAUGAAAACACGCUUACCUGAUCCCAGGUUUUCAGAGAGAUCGUGUCUGCAUCUGCAGCAAACCAUGCCUCCAUUCUGCAUAUGUACCACUGCAACACCUCAUGGGAAAGCCCUUCUUGCCUACAGAACAAAUAACUCAAUAUGUAUGUGCAUGUAUAACCAGGUUCCACAUUCAACAGACAAUAGCAUGUAAAAUGAGAAGCAUUUUUGUCUGCAUACCUCAACUCUGGAUGCCUGUCCAGUACAAUAGAUAUUGCCUGAAGGACUGACAAGUCAUGACUAUGCUCAUUCCUCACUUUUUCAGUCUGCAUAAGCAAUACAAUUUAUCAUCACUGGUCUCUUUUAAAAAUCUUAAGAGGCACAGCAUUGUUGAGCAGUUCAAAAUUAAAGACCAACCUCACUGAGGAUUUUCUUGAAUACAUCUCCAACUUGAACAACUGUAUUUUGAGGAACUUGAUGACCAUCCAUGUCAAACAGCAUGAAGCUGUCAAAGGAAAGGAAAACAUAAUUAAGCUCUUGACAGAGUUAAUAGCAUCUCUAGGUAAUUUGCACAAAGAAAUACGAAGGGAACAGAAAAACAGCACAGGCUAAAAUUCAGGAAAUGCAGGAAGCUUUGAAACCAGACCACACGUAAACUCUGGAGAGGCAACUAAAAUCCGUUCCACCCAGGCCAAUCGUAAGUCCCUUUGAUUAUAACUCAAAGACAAACUAACAAAUUUGUUGAUUCUGAUUGGUUGAAUCAGGAAGAAGAUAAAGCAAGUAAAAAUUUAAUACCAAGAUUUGCCGAGAGAACAAACAAAAGGUGGAAGUGCAGGCUAAUUCAUGAUAAAAAUUAUUUAUUCAAUGUAAAUGUCAUCCAGGUUACCUUUCUAGGUCAUGGUCAUACAGCACCGAGUUAUCACCGCUAGUGCGAUACAUAGUGAGCCCUAACCGGCGAAUCAAUGGAGCCAAUGGAUUCUCAUCACACACCCCAUGGAGCCUGAAAAGAAUGAUUAAUGAUCAGAGCCAAUUAAUUGCUAACUAAAAGGCAUUAACAUCCAGGUCUGGAAAGACAAUUUGGGGGAGAAGCAUUAAAUUCUCUCACCAUGAUGCUCCCAUGUCAACUGGGCAACCAAAUGAGUAGUCAGUAUGUAUACGCCCACCAAGUCUAUCCCGUGACUCCAACAAGAGAACCUGAGACGAAUAUAAAAAGCAUUUCUUUUAAGGAUGAAGAAAUAAAAGAUUGUUGCAUGUGAAAGAGUUCUAAAUCCUGGGUAUGCGCACCUUAAAAGAUGCAUUCUGAAGGAAACGUGCAGCAGCUAUCCCCGAGAUACCUCCACCAAUCACAAUUACAGAUGGAGAUGAACUGCGUGGCCUACCUAAGCGGGGUGGUAAAAUGCCUAGUCAAACAAAAUAGAGGAGCAAAUUAAGUUCCACUGAUGAAAUCAUAAGAAUAAGCAACAAAACAUAUGAACACCCUUUACGAUGGACAUAAAUAUGAAGUUCUUCGUUUAUACUUCAACAUUCCAACAAAGUAGAAGCAAAUUACUUAAAAUGAAGAAUUAAGAUAAUGAAUUAGGAAAAAAUUCCUCACGAGGAGGCCAUCAAAUCCAUGUAACUCAGUAGAGAGAAAGACAAUGCUACAAACUGAAUCAAUCGCUCCAAAGUAGAAUGUAAUGCAGGUUUAGAAGUCUAUCAACUUCAUGUUUUCACAUCUCUAUAUAUGCUACAUUACCAACUUCUAUUAAGAGUGUAAUCCACUUGGAUAGCAAACCACAAUCAGAAACUGUACAUAAACAAUUGGUUUAUAAUUAGAAAUUGAUCAAGUAGAGAUAUGACAACAAGGCUCAGGACAAGAAAGUCGCAUCUAUUCAGUACACUAUGUAAAUGGAUCAGCAAGAUGACAUAAAACUGGCCUAAAAUGGUAUAUCUAAUCCUCCUCCUAAAAGAUAGCAAACCAUUGUAUCUCUAAUCAGCAAUGUUCUUUUGCUUUUUGGUUGUUUGCUUGUCUUACUUAGCAAUAAUUCAUCAAACACGGCAAUGCCGCAAGGGUUAAAAUAUCAUGCUCAUUUAAAUAUAUAAUCAAGUCCUAGAUAUUUCGCAUAGAUAACAUCUAACACAGUAAUCAUAAAAUUAACACAUAUGACUAAUUAUUUCCUCAAAAGGCAACGAAAUAAAACUUAAAAAAAGCGACAUAAAAUUGGAGAAAAAUAGGGAACUCACCGUCAAAUGAACUACUGGAGCCAGAAUCAUCAUCCUUGAUUUCCAUGAAAUCCGUGAAGAAAAACGCCGACGUUCUUAGAACCGAAAGAGAUGAGAGAAUGUUGUUUUUGUCGUACAAAAACAGAGAAGGAAGAAUGGAUUGGGAAGGAGAAAUUACGGGUGUAUAGGAAUCAAGAAAUUAGAAAUUAAUUGUGCGGAAUGAUAAAGCAUGAAAAUAAGAAGGCCGGCAAUAAAGCGGCUGAGAUUGGAAGAACCCAAUAACUUAUCAAGCCAGCUCAUAAUCAUAACCUGGAUCAAUUAUCAACUCAACAAAUCCUCCUAAUUUUAUCAACGAUUUUUGCUUCGUUUGCAUAGAUCAACCACAAAUUUUUCUCUCUUAAUACUACUACGUCUCUCUCUCUCUCUCUAGAUUUCAAUACACCAACUUCUUCUUCUUCUCUCUCUCUCUGCAAUGAUGAGCCUCUCUUUUGGGAAAUUGUGAUGGAGCAACGGAAAGAUGGUGUAAUAGGGUGGUCUAUUUAUCGGGAUGAACGGAGCUAUGGGAGCAUACAACUGGGAGGCAACGCGUAAUGCAUGAUAUUUAUUUCGAAAUAAGGGUAGUACUGUCAUUUUAAAUAUAGAGUCGUGUCCUUCUCGACUUCCCCCUCUCUUAACCAGUCAAUAACUCCUAAUUAACCCGCUUCACGUGAGCUCAAUUUUUACCGUCUAUAUUCCCUCCGUUUCAUAUUAAUUUAUCCCUUUACACUUGACACACUUAUUAAUAAAAUAUUAAUUAGAAGAUUUAUUUUACUAAAUUAGCAUUAUUAAUUAUAUUUUAAAAAUAUAAAUUUGAGUAAUACACUUUGUUUAGUCAUUUAAUGUUAAGAAUAAUAUUGAACAAACAUAAUAAAAUUCUCUUGAUUUCAUCAAAGAGACAACUAAAUUGAAACAAAUAUUUUUACAAUAAGGAUCAACUAAAACCAAACGAAGGGAGUAUUUUAUAUCUAUAUCUGUAAUUUAUAUAAAUAUAGAAAAGAGAAACAUGGCACUGCUGACGUGGCAUGCCUCAAUGAUCAAGAAAUAGAUUUAUCUAUUUUCUCAAAUUUUUUUAAUAAUUUUUACAUUUUAAAUUAACCAAAUCUUUCGUUAAAUACUAAAUAUGAAAAAAAAAAUAUCGCAGAGGAUGUCACGUAUGAGUUAUUAUCUAACUAGUGAUAAUGGUCACGCUUCGCGUGGUUAGAAAUAACAUUAGUAAAUUUAUAUGAAUAAUACAUAUUGUCGCAGAUUAUUAUAAAGAAAAUUAUUUGUUUUUAUCUUACACCUGUGAUAAUUAAUUAUAUAUAGUUAAUUAAAUUACAAACUCUUCCUUGUAUUUAUGUAUUUUGUUGGAUAAUAGAAUUUUUGUUUCUCUAUAAUUUUCUUUUUUAUAUUUAAAUGAAAUAAAGAUGAGAUACGAAUUUAAAAAAAUUAUGAUCAAUGCAUACAAAUUAAAAGCAAAAAUUUUAGUUAUUGUUUUGUACUUCGUAAUUAGUUAUGUCAACUAUUAUUUCAUAAUUAUGUUUUAGUGUUAGUUCUAGUUAUCCAUAGUUUAAAGAAUUUGAUAUAAUAAAAAUUGGCAUUGCUUCGAGUUUGAAAGUUUUUUCUCAGCAAGAAAGAUUGCAAGUUCUAUUUCACUAAGAAAGGAGUUAUAAAUAACAAAUAUUGUUAUCCUUCAACCUUUCAUUAUUGAUUGUAGCACGCGUACAUCAAUCCUUUUAUAAGAUGAUGAGAAUACACUUAGAAAUUAAGGAUAUAAAAUAAAAUAAAAAGAAAUAAAGUAAACAAAAGAGAAAAAAGAAAUAACACACCAUGAGAUCCCAAAAUUAUAUGAAGAUAUACUGAAAUAUAAAUAGGCAGGACAAAUGAAUUGUACACUUAAUUAUGAGUGAGUAAUUAUAUUAAAAAAAAACCUAUUUAGGCAUACUAUAUAAAUGAGUAUUAAUACUAUGUGGAUGAAACAAUGAUAUAAUUAAACUUUAUUGCAUAUAAUAGAUAACUCUUUUAGAUUAUAUUUAACUAGUCUUUAGACACGUACAUUGUACGUGUGUUUCACGUAGUAAAUUUUUAUAGAUUCAUAAAAACGAUUAAAAUUCUAUAAAAAUAUGUGUGCAAUGAGAAAUGCAAUGCAAUAAUUAUAAAUAAAUCUUUAUAAGCAUGAUAAAAAGCACCAAAUAAGGGGUGUAUUUGAAUGUUUAAAAUUAAUUCAUAAUUUUAACCGACAAAUGUAAAUUAUGAAAUUUAUUUAGUUAUUAGCAAACCUUCAAUAAAGUAAAAAAUGACUAAUUUGAGCCUAAAUGAAAAUAUAGAUUUACUACAAUUAAAAAUUUAUAAAAACUUAAAUUAAAGAAGUUUAAUGAGAAAAAAACAAAAGAAAAUAACAUAAAAGGAACCAAAAAAAGAUAAAGGGGUCGAGCAGUUAAGAGACUUAGCACACAUUGAACUUGUAUUAAAAAAUUGAAAGAGUAAACAAACCUUUUCAUGAUAAAUAACAAUUGUUUCAUAUUAAUAUUCAUUAUGUUUUACAACUUUAUGGCUUUAAAUAUAAAAGAAAUAAAUGUACCAGAAAAUAUAACCACUUUUGUAGAAGUCUAAAGGCACAUAUGACCAUUUGAAUAGAUCAAUAUUUAUAAUUUUUCAUCCAAAUUUAUAUUAGUUUUAGUAAAUACUUUAUCUAGUAUUUAGUCUAAUAUGAUAUGAUUACUAUCUAUAUUUAAUUAGUAUGUUAUAAUAUUUUAAUUUAAUGUAGGAGUAAAAUAAAAAUCCAACUUUACACUUUGAAACUAACAUCAUCAAUUGACAAUAAAAGCAAAGAAAACCCCAUUCUAAAUUCAACAAUUGAGAAAGAGAAGUAACAAAUAUAAUAGAAAAAAAUGCAAAUAAAUGAAAAAAAAAAAAUCCUAUCUUUGAAGAGUUUAUCUCACCUUUCACUUUCUCUUUAAUUGAGCAAUGAAUGUGAACAAAAAAUUAUUAAUCAUUGACUUGUAUAUUAUUGACUUAGCAUGCUCCUUAAAACAUAAUAAAUAAUAAUAAAAUUAUCAUAUUAUCUUUUGAAUAUAAUAAAUUCAAUGUUUAAUUAAAAAUAUACCGAGUAAUAAUUAUAAUAUCGGGAACAACCUUUCUACUUCUUCGGAGAUAGUGGUAUGGACUGGAUACAUCCUACCCUCUUCAGAUCCUAUUAUGUGGGAAUAUACUGAAUUUGUUGUUGUUGAUAAAAUGGACAAAAAUAAAUAGUUUUUCAAUUUGGACACUUAUUAUUGAAUAUCUUUUUUAAUAAGAUGGAAGGAGGAAGUAUUUUUUUUUUCCUCUCUCUUUUUCUUCUCGUUUUCUAUCUUUAGAAUACUUGGUCAACUAUAACCCAAAGUUAUGUUUCCCUCAAACAAUGAGCUCAUUUACAAAGGUCGUGGUAGAGUGAUAAUUAUACCGUCAUUCUUAACUAUAGGUUUUAGGUUCGAGUCAUUUUAGGUGCGGUGUGACCUUUGUUAGGGAACAUUUUACUUUACUUUGAGAUUUUCCUGCGCGAUUCAGAAUUUAGUUGAAUUUUGAUUCAAUACAAAUAUUAAAUAUCGAGUGAAACACCAAUAAAAAUUAGUGGCCCUCUCUAGAAUAAAGUAUUGCCGGAAAAAAUACGAAUUAAUUUUGUCACAUAACUUCAAAGUCUUUAAUAAUAAUACUUAAAUAAGUAAUUUAUCCGUUUAAACAAUUCUAAGAGUAAAAUAUGCCACGAUACUUGAUUUUUUCCCGUAAUAUGACAAAACUACUCAACUCCAAGAUAAGCAGCUUUUUUAUAUCUUAAUCAGACAGAUUCUAAAUCUAGUUUCCCAUAAUCUAACAAGUUCCCUAAAUUAAUGUUUUUGUUCUCUGACUUCUUUUUUGUUUCCCAGGCUUAAAACAAUAAUAAAAGAAUAAUCUCAUUCAUGGAUGACAAUUGACAAGGACAACACGUGGAAGGUGGGAUUGGAAUUUGGACUUAGAAACAACUACUAGUGCGAAAAUGCAUAUAGUCCUAUCAGUUGGGCUGGAAUUGGAGUGAAGCACAUGGAAUGGAAUCAGAAUUAUUGAAUUUCGACUCCACAAUAUAUUGAUACUAUUGUUAUUCUUCGGGAAGUCGAAUCAUUCUCUUCUUCACUAAAAUAUGUCAUAUAUUAAUAAAACAAAUUGCUUAUAUAAACUGAUGGUAAAUUCGGAAUUUUCAUUGAAGGAAUUAAAAGCAAACAUUCGAACUAAUCAAAAAAGUAAAAAUAUUUUUGAUUAUAAUUUUUUAUCGAAGAAGGUUGGAAUAAUCCCCGAAUAAAAGGUGGCUCCAUGAGUCACCUUCGCGAUGGACGCAACAGUACAAGUGUCAGACCAACUUGACCGACAAUGCUUCCCCACUUGUGAUGAUUAUGGUCCAGCACACCGGUGGAGCCAUGUUCUAGUUACGGAUGUGGUACAAUUUUGUAAUUUUGGUUCACAGUUUGAUUUUAUAUAUAUAUAUAUAUAUAUAUAUAUAUAUAUAUCCUUAAUAAAUAUAUAUGACUUGUUUAUUAGACCAUAAUUUUAAAAAAUAUCUUUUUUUUAUUCUUAAAUUUUAUAUCUGAUCAAAUACCUUUACAUAAAUUAGAAUAGACGAAGUAAUAUUUUGUUGUCAACAAGCUCAUUCUAAUCUUGAAGUACGUUUGACAAAUUUCGUAUGGAACGAAGAAAGAUCUAACGAGAUUAGCAAUAGUACUCAUUAUAACAGGUUAAGGUUUAAGUAGUUGUGGCAGUGUAAAUUAAGAAGUUGUGCUAAAGUCACAGGAUAUGAUACUUUGUUAGAUUAAUUACAUGGGCAUGCCAUAAUUACAUAAAUUGCCAAAGAUUAAAUGGUAGUACACUAUAUAUGAAACUGAAAGUAUUUCAUUGUCAACUUCAUAGAUUUUCUAUCUUAGACGUAAUUCAAAUGUGGGUUCUAUGAAUAUUCAGUCCCCUCUACCAAAGAAUGUUGCAUUAGUCCAAUAAAGUGUCCAAAUAAAGUCGGUUACUUUAGUGAUUGAUUGGAAAUUAGGUCUGAUUUUGUUCUAUAUAGCAAACAUCUCUUUUCUCUUUUUGUGUGUUUUUUUUUUUAAAGAGGUGGUGGCUUUUGAAUAAUUCUUGACUAAAGAGACAUGAUUUUUACAUCAGGAUAUUUUUAAAUAUACAGUUCCACGACGUGCAUUGCAUUGAUGUAGUCAUAUUUUUAAUAUUUUACACCUGAUAGGUAACGUUAUAUAAUGGUAUGUACUUACUGUGAGCUUUAAUGUCUCAGCUUUGUAUAAAAAUGUAAAAGAAGUGUUAUUUAUACACACGUUUACAUCAUCAUAUAAAAUUAUGCAAAAACUAAAUCUCGUCUCGUAAAAACUUCAACCACAAAAUUCCUUUUGACUGUGUCAAAUUUUCAUCGAAUAACUUCAAAUUUUAACUAGAACUUUAAAGUGGCAUCUCAAUAAAUCUCAAUCAUCAAUUUGUAAAUAAAAAAUAAAUAAAUCAAGAAAGCACAAAAUCCAUUUGUGAGUUUCAAGCUUUUAGAAACCCGAAAAAUGGAGUUUUCAAUUUUUUACUUUAAUUCACUCAAUUACAUUGAAGCUGUGGUGAUAAACAUCAAUAUCACUUUUAACUUUCUUUAAACAUCAAUAAUAAAAGUCAUAAUCAUAAAUCAAUAAAUUAUUGUCCUUUUUUGAAUCUCAUAUAUAUAAAAUGAAGUAAAUAGGAUAAGAUCUUAUAAAUUCGACUUCUUUAUAUCUAUAAUCUAUAAUAUAUUUAAAAAUGUGAAGUGCCUUAAAAAAGUAAUUUUAACUUUUUAUCCUUCAUUAAAAGAUUCUUCUUUAGACAAAACUAUUUUUUCACUAUUUUAUUCAAUUUAUUAUUUAAUUAUUUUUUGUUACACUAAAUUCCUAAAAUAUAUGGGACUCUAAAAUAUACGAAAGGAGAAUCAAUUAAUAUUUUUAUUUGUACUGGUCAACUAGAAAAAUACUCUUAAAAUAAAACUCAAUUAAGGAAAUGCUUCUGUAAAUAUUGAAAUCUAGAGAAUAAUUAUUUAUACUAAUUUAUGCACACAGCAUGCUUAGGUCUUUGAAUAACAUGUAUGCGUGCUAUUUUUUAAGUUUUUCUUUAACUGUUUUUUUGACUCUCUGUUCUUCUUUCUUUGUCUUUUUAAGUUAGUUAUUGAUUCACUUGUAUUUAUUAGAUGUUAGGUAGUUGAUUUUUUUUACUUUGUAAAGUAUUACCUCUUCAUUUUUUUUUUUUAUCAAUGUAUGGAUAAAUACAUACAAGCCAUCAGGCUUUGUAUAAGAAAUUCAAUAAAUGUUUUUAUUAUUAGUUUGGAUAAUAAUUGUAUUGUCUUGAUAUCUCUAUUAGUUUAUUAUUUUGUGGUAGUUUACAUGUUGUAGAUGAAUAUUGAUCGGAUUUAAGGAAUUUUUGUGUGUAAAAUUUAAAUUUAAUUGUGUUAUUUUAAUAUAUUUUUUAUCGUAUUGUUUUGUUGUAGUUUGCAGAUGGUUGAUAAAUGUCGAUCGACUUUGAAGAAUUUUUUUGGUAAGGGUUAAGUUUAACUGUAUUGCUUUGAUAUCUCCGACUUGAGAAAUUUUUUUGUGUAAAGAUUAGGUAUAGUUAUAUUAUUUUAAUAUCUCUAUUAUCGUAUUAUUUUGUUAUAGUUAACAGGUGGUAGAUGAGUGUCAGACGCUUUGAGGAAAUUUUAGUGUAAAAGUUAAAUUUAAUUGUAUCAUUUGAUAUCUCUAUUAUCGUAUUGUUUUAUUGCAGUUUACAAGUGGUAGAUGAAUGUCGAUCAGUUUUGGGAAUCGUUUGCGGUAAAGGUUAGGUUUAAUUAAAUAAAUUCUCCUUCUUUACAUAUUCAAAAAAUAUUGAAUUUAAUUAUUAUAUUUAUCUUUAUUAUUUAAAUAAACUUUUUAUUUAGUGUAACGUUUAAACUCAUUAAAGUAAGAUAUACGCGCGAGAUACGCACACCUAAACUAGUUUUAUUUAUAAGCUUGGGCCGAGUGACGCAAAACAUAAAAUUCUCAAUUUUAAAUUAUAUUAGUCACCAUAAAGUAUAAUAUAUCUUCAUGUAAAUGGAAAAGUUAUUGGUCAAAUUAGGUCGAUGAUAAUUUGAUCCAACUAGUACUUAUUAAUCCUGUAUAUGUGCAGACAUUUAGUAGUGGGAUUAGUUUAAUACUCUUAGGGGUGAUUUGGUAGAGUGAAUUAAAAAUAUAAUACAUAUAUUAUGAUUUGUGUAUUAAUAGUACCAUGUUUGAUAUUCUUUUUUAGACUAUGCAUAAGUAAUACUUGCAUUAAUUGUACGCAUUUUUGUAUAUUAAAGUAUGUAUUACCAAUGCACAUCAUUUUCCAUGUAUUAGUAAUACAAAGUCUUCAACACAUGCAUUAACUUAGUAAAUUACAAAAUUACCCUCAAGUCAUUGUCCCUCUUUCUCUUUUCUGCAGAUUGUCAUGGAAAAGCAACAAUAAUUUUCUUAAGUUCUCCUUCUUCCGUUCAAUUAAUCAAACAAUAGUUGUUUUUUUCCAUCAGUUGUGCUUUACUCUUUUGUUCUAUUAUUUUGUUCCAUCAAAGAUCCUCAACAACAUCACUUCCUAAACGUCUCCAAUUAGCAUCAAAAUAUUCCUUCUCUUUCAACUUAUCUUCAUCAUUUUCGGUGGAAGAGCGAAUUAUCGCAUUUAUUGACGAAUUCUGAAUGUCUACUUUUGAUGAAGUUCUGAAAAUUGUUUAUACUUGAGAAUUUUUUGAGGAAAAAGAAGAAGCUUUGGAGGAUCGCUAUGAAGAAUUGAAGUUGGGAGUUUCAAUGGAAAGAAGGGCAUUUUGGUAAAAAAAUAUUUUUUUAUAAAAAUUAUAUAAAUAUAUAUUAUUUUUAAUACAUCAAAUCAAACACUGUAUAAGAAAUAAUGUUUGAAUAACUAAUACCAAUUUUACUAAUACUUACAUUACUAAUGCAAAAAUUAUUAAUACACUAUAUUCAAUUUUAAUCUUAUACACUCUCCCAAACGAUCACUUAUUAUUACAUCAUAGAAAAGUAUAGUUUAUAAGAAAAAUAAAUAGCAAACUAAAAAGUAGACAACACACUUUCGGAUUGAAAUGUCUACUGGGGCCAAUAUACAUGAGCCGCCUAUUCAACAUAAAUGCAUUUCCAACGUACUCACACCCUUUCUUCUAAUCCAUUUUGGUUCCUAGGCAGACUCAGAAUUUCUAUUGAGGAAGUUCAAAAUCUGAAGAAAAAUUUAUUAAAAAAAAAUAAAAAAUUAAUAUUUAUGAUAUAUACAUAAAAUUUAUUUUAAUUAUAUAUUAAUAGCAUAAUUUUUUAUCAAAGAGGGUUCGAACGAAUCUCCUAUUACUAAGUUGGCUCCACCUCUAUUUUGAUUUGCCUAGAGAUAAGCAUAUAUGCCUUUUCUUUUUCGAGUCUUUAUUAACCUCUCAUUUUUAAUUUGAAGAUUAUAAAUUUGAGCCAUUAAAAAAGCAAAAAGAUUGAAAGUUUUGAGAAGGAAAAAGAAAAAAGAGACUUCAUUUAGAGAAAAAGACAGUACUUUUUUCUUUUUCGAUUUUAUUUAAAGAAUCAAAAGAUGCAUUUGAGAAUAAUGGUAUAUUCCUCUACCUUUUAAUGAAUCCUCCUUUCUCUUUUAUACAAUCUAAACAAAUAAGAUAUAAAAAAAUAAAACGAAAGUCGAUAUCACUGCUUUUCUAACUUCCCUUCAAAUAUAUUACUAAGUUAUGAAGAAAUAAUUCAUUUGCAUGAGUAAGAAAUUGAUGUAUUUAGAUGAUGAGUCGUCCUCUUCUUAUACAAAAGAAUUUCAAGAAUCAUUUGAUGUCAUUUUAUGUGGACUAGUACAUUGAAAUUCUUUGAUAUGUGUAGAUAAUAAUCUUUGUAGCAAUAUCAAAUUAAUAGAUCAAAGGGUUAAACUGUGUACGAAGUUUUAUUCUUAAUACUAAUAUGGAUUGUGCUGAAAUAAUUGAGAUUCCUUUAUUUUUAAUCAGCUAUUUAUUUUGAUUUCAAUUCAUGAAAUGAAAAUAAUUUUUAUUGAGAGAGUUUUUCUCUGAAGUGAAGCUGCUUACAAUGCUUAAAAUCAAAUUUAAUUAAUCAAGCUCCAAUACACGAAUAUUGAACUCCUAGUAGAAAACCAAAAUAGUCAUUAUGAGCUGUGCCAAAUUGAGUCACUUUUGAAGACUUGUAUAGAAGAAGACAAGCAGUUGAUGCUGAAUUGUCAGAGCAAAAGUAAGACUAAUAACAUAGCGGGGCCAAAAAAUUUAAAGACUAACUUGUAAUUACGUGUGGUCAAAGUACUUUUGGCUGACUCCUUCUUGACCUAACAGGCUAACGUUUUCCUUUAAUUAAUUAAAUAGUUUCCUUUUGGAUUGCCUUAGAAGUAAACAUUCCUCUAUUAUCUCUUUUAAGAGCUCAUCUAAUAUCUAAUAUCUAAUAUCCAAUGGUGAAGUUGAUUUAAGAAACUUUUUUAUUAUCUUGAACAUGUGUCUUAACAUGUGCCUUCAAAUGAAUUUGAGAUAUCUUUAAAUUUGAAAAUUUUGUUGUAUUAAUCCCUUUUGAUGAAUUUGAGAAGUUUGAACAUGUGCCUUUUAUUGUAUUAAUCCUUUGAAUUGUAGAAGAAGUACUAGCUCCUUUUUUUUUUUUAAAUGAGAAAAUUUUCUUUAGAUGUGCUUCUCAAAUUCCUAAUACUUUAAGUGUGAAUUUUUUUUUUUUAAAAAAAGAAUAGUUUAAAAUUGCUCCUGGGUUUCGGUAAUAUAAAAAUUAAGGACUACCUAAUAAUCCACUUUAUCAUUUUCUCUAAUUUAGUGCGUGAAUAAAUAUUUGUUUGGAAAUCGCAAAGAAGCUUCUCCCCAGUAGCUAACUUGGAAUGAAUGUUAUCAACUUAUAAAUAGCUUUUUUUUUUAAUUUUAAGGUCAUGUAUCCUGAUGUAUUCAUUCCAACUUUUGAGAUUUGCAUCGCUCUCUUCAACACGUAAUAACCAUUCGUAUUUUUGUUGCUAUAAAAACUUGUUCAUUUACAAUUCUAGGGUGUGUUUGGUAAGAAGAUUUUUUUUUUUAAUAAUUAAUUGGUCAAAAUAUUUUAAAUAAUAUUUUAUUAUAGUAAAUUAAUUCCUUAAAAAUCAAGAAGACAAUCACCUAGGUCGAAAUUGAAAAAUCAAAUUUCAUACACAUCCUCAUGUUUUUGCCACACUCAGGCGUGAAAUUAAAUGGAUAAAUACGGAUCUAGUUGAACCCUAUAGCUUUUAUUUAAAUAAAAUAAUUAAUAUAUUUAUACUAAGAAAUUCAAUAAAUAUUUAUAAAUAUUAGAUUAGAAUUUAGUUAUUAUUAGUUGAAAUCGUCACUUUAAAAUUCAAAAGCUAAAAAACUAAAUAUAUAUCUCCAAAGCCCCCUCCCCCCCAUCAUCCUUCAACCCCACCCCACCCCACCCCCUCUUUCCAACUUAUUGUGUUUGGGAAAAAUAUAUAUAAAUACUCUCAGUACAAUAUAUUCUUUUGUUUAUCAAGGAUUGAAAAAUAAUAAGAAAACAGGGAAAAAAUAUUUUCCUCCACAUCAAACUUAUUUAACUAUUUCCAAAUAUAUAAAUGUAUUAUGUUUUUAGACGAAUUAAUAAGGAAAUAGUGCUAAAUGAAAGAAAUCAAACUAUUUAUUUUUGAAAAUAAGACCGUUCCAUCCACACUUUAUUUUUUUUUUCUCCAAAUAUAGAGUUUCUCUAUAUUUGACAAACACCAAUUUCAACGCAACCUUUUUUUACACUCUUAAAAAAAAUCAUCUUCUAUCUCUUUAAUAUUACUUUAUUAUCUUUAUUUUAUUUGCAUUUGNNNNNNNNNNNNNNNNNNNNNNNNNNNNNNNNNNNUUCAUGUAAUACAUAAUUAUUUUCUACCCCAAAAUUUUUAAAUAACAUAAAUCACAAGCAAAUAGUAUAUAUUAUUCAUAUUAAUGGACAAUUCAAAUAUAAGUGAAAUUAUUGAUAAAAUACAAUUAAAUAAAUAUAACAUCAUGAUAAAAUUUAGAGAUAAGCAUUCAUUAUCCAUCGAACUAUGACCAAAGUUGUUAUGACACACUUCAAACUUCACAUGGAUCUUAUUACCAUUUUUAACAUUUUUUUUUGUGCUGAUGUGGUACCUGCUAAAAAGGUUGACAAAAAUAUGCUGAAAUUUAAUUCAGGGAUUAAUAAAAUCGCCGUGAAGUUGAAGCAUGUCAUAACAAUUUUAUCAUAGUUCAGCAGAGAAUACAAGAUACUUUACUCUAGAAUUUAUAUAUUAAUAAUUUCUACGUAAGUAUUCAAUCUCAAGAUUAAUAUGUUGCCCCGGUAAAUACUACUCUAUUAAUGCAUUGCAAAGUUCACAAUGAGCACUUUUGUCCUUAAUUUUUUUUUUUUUUAUGUCUAGCUAAAAAUUAUUUCAAUCGAUAAUUUUCAUCUACCACCAUUUCUACCAUUGAAGUUGGAGCUUUCGAAGUAUCUUGAAUUGAUGCAUUCCUUAAUAGAACUAAGAUAAUAUCUUUUUAUUUUCAUAUAUAUCUUAAAUAAAAAUAUUACAUUAGAAUAUUAGAGUCUUAAUUGAUGAUGUUCUAUAAUUUAUAAUAGGUUAAAUUAAAACUGUUAUAUAAUUCUAAAUAAUAAUGAAAAAGUAAAAUUUAGAGAGUGGUUGGAGUUGCUCUAAGUAGUGGAUUUUACACCACGUCAAAAGUUCCUUACCGUUGGUGCUUCAAAGCAGAGAACCAUUAGUUUUAUUGAUUUUCUUACAGGCAAACGUUGAGGUACAUUACAAAAACACUUCUUAUUCUGUUAUACUUGGAUACAUCUGUUCUGAACUCACAAAACAUAACGUGCUAAACAUAUCAAACAAGCAUGUAGCCUAGAAUUUUACAUGUACUCCAAGCAAUACCAUAAACUGAGAAAUGAACUCAGGAUGACCUGGCCAAGCUGCCCCCGUCACAAGAUGCCCGUCUGUGAAGCAACGGUCUAUUGGUUCUGGUUCUAGCCAUGUCCCCCCUCCUAGCACCACGUUAAGUUUCACAGCAGGGUACGCAGUACACUUCUUACCCUGUAGUUGUUUAGUGAGAAUACAAAUUAGUGUGCGCAUAGCAUACACCCGUGAACACCACAUGUUCCCAUUUUAUGUCAUUUCUUAACAUGUUCUAACUACUGCAUUAGAUCAGUGAGAUCAAUUUUCUGCAUGACAUUAUUAUCCUUGCAGUUACAUGUGGAUACUCGAUAGUAUACAAAUUUCCUGAUUUUCUUCUUAUCCCAUUGUUAACUUUUCGGCCUUCGGUAGAAAGGGGGAAAAUGAGCUGAAACAUCAUGCAAAGACCAGGUUUUUAAACCUCAAUGCUAAAUGAAGUUUAGAGAGUUACCUUGAGAACACCAGCAGCAGAUAGAAUCUGCUGCCCAUGGCAGAUUGAUGCAACUGGUUUUUUGGAGUCCAUGAAUUCCUUGACCAACUUAAUAACAGCAUCAUCCAGGGCAAGAUAUUCUGGAGCUCGGCCUCCAGGAAUUACAAGUCCAUCAUAGCUUGAAGCAUCCACGCUAUCAAAAUUGGCAUUUAAGGUAAAAUCGUGACCUGGCUUCUCACUAUAAGUCUGAUCACCUUCAAAGUCAUGCACAGCCGUGGGGCAUUUCUCACCGGCUUUCUUCUUUGGGCAAACAGCAUCAACAUGGCAUUCAAGAGCUUGGAGGGACUGAAAAGGAACCAUCACUUCAUAGUCUUCCAUGAAAUCCUACACCCAAAAGAAAGUAGAGCGUAAAAUUUUUUAGCUAAAUAAGAUGUCACCAAAUAAAAGUUUAACAGGCCUGAGACCAGGAGAGAAAAGAACUCCAAAUAUGAAAUCCGCACACAUCCAUGAUAUUGGCCAGCUUACUCAAAUGAAAAAAUAAAGCAUCCCCUGUGAUAGUUUCAAGCCUUCUAGUUUGUGGAACAUCUUUCAGGAAAUCCAAUCCCCAGACCACGGACCAAUAAAUUCAAUCACAUAAAGUAACAGGAAGCAUGAAACAUGGUCAGCCAAGUGGAAAACAGUGACGCAAGGAAGAUAAGAAAAUAGAAAUCAAGCAAGCAGUGCAUCUAAUCCGAUUGGGUAAAUAGUUUUACAGAGGAGUACAGGUAAGACAAGGUUGUUCAAGAAUUGAAAACACACGUCUUUUACUGUAUAUCCAUUCAAGGUGAACUUCCCAAAUACUAUAUGGAAUUUGCAUUUCAGAUAAAUAACCUCAAGGAAUCAAGGGACCAACUAUCAGUGAUUUAUGCAGAUUGCAUAGAUUCACAUAGGAGGGGAAAGAAAGUGGGAAGAGUCGACGCUUUCCUUUCUUCUUUCUUUCCUAUUUGGAGAAGCAUUUACCAAAAUGUGCUACUGAUGCAACUCAUUAUCCAAAAACACAAUCCUCCGAGAGAAUGAGAAGAACUGCCACCUAUGUCCUAUGACCAUACAGAACAUGGAGGAAGAGUAGCCAGAAAUCAUAUUCAAGAGACAACUCCAAUACCAUGUUACUUAAAAAAAUGAGUUAGGUAAUACUAUACGAUAAGCAAUACAAAUUGUUAAACGUUUAUUUAUCAAGGUAAAUGGAGCUCUGCAAUGGCUUGAAAAGGAAAAUAUACAUUAGCAUAUGGCCGUGAAGGGCUUAACCCACAAGAUAUGCUAUGAAAGUUGCUACAAGCCCCUGGGUGAACUUUUAAGAUGCAAUACUGUUUGCCUAAACAACAAAGAGAUGCACCACUUAAGCACGUCCUAUUAUGGAGUGUGUGUAGCGCUUUGAAAGAGCAAGGAGUUAGGAACAAGAGACAUUUUCCUGUACCUUUGCUAACCUUCAUCCCAAUCAAAGGUAACGUGGACCAAAACAGGGAACAACAACAACAACAAACCCAGUGUAUUCCCACCUAGUGGGGUCUGGGGGGGUAAGAUGUAAGCAGUCCAUACCUCUACCUCUGAUGAAGUAGAAAGGCUGUUUCCGAUAGACCCCCGGCUCAAGGCACGAGAUACCACACAAACACAUAGUAAAGCACAGAAGCAGAUUACAUAACAUAAAUACGGCACCCAUAAGUAAUAUAAAACAGAGAAGAGCAGAGGAAAGCACACAGAUUUGUAAUGAAACAUGGAACACGGGACACGGAAUCAUAACAGGAAUAAAACCCCCACCAAGUACCAAAACAGGGACAUGAAAUAAAAUAUAAUCCCCAGGAAAUUCAGUGUCGCUUCUGUUCAAACCAGUACAACAAAGAAUACCAAGCACAGCCUCUACCAUCCUCCUUUCUACAUCAUGACUAAUCCGUAGGUGACCAAACCGAGAACUUCUUCUUCUUCUUUACCAUUUUUUUUCAAGCUAAGUAACCAAACCAAGAACAUCUAAUCCUUAGGACCUUUUCUUUUUUUUUUUUUUUUGAUAACUGUGGGUUCGGGCCAGCUUGCGCGCACCUCGACUAAUUCCACGGGAUACCUGUUACCUCCCACCACCAACAGGUACCAGCUAACAGGUAACUCUGUCCACCAAGGCUAGAAGUUUGUCUUUGUUGGGAAUUGAACCUAAGAUCUCAUGGUGCUCAACCCAACUUCAUUGAACCACUAGGCCACACCCUUGUGUGCAUUUUAUCCUUAGGACUUAACAUUGGGUAAAUUGUGGAGAAGUAAUACACACAGUCUAACCAGGAAACGAAGGGACCCAUUGGCUGCAUCAUUCUAUCUAUGUUCACCCUUCAAGCACACACACACACAUAGCAGUACCAAUUAAGUCAGAUUGUGCAUAGCCGCUACCUCCCAGGGGUAGAUAUGUGACUUUGUUCACCAAGGCUUAUACAUGUGGUAAGAAAUUAGCUACCUUCUUGUCUCUACUGAUAUUUGAAACUCGUCUCACAUGGUACAUUCCAACUUCAUUCACCAGACCCCUAGGUGCACCUACUUACCUUCAUUCUUACAGUCCUGAAAUGUUGAUUGCACCAGAAACGUGGACGAUUCCACUUCUUACAAUACUCUGAUGGCUACAUGUGUCUCUAAUUUUGAAAACAAGACAACUACAUGUAUCUGUUAGACUGUUACACAAUCAUACAUGAUGAAAAACUCUUAUUCAAUCUCUAGAAUCUAUGAUAGUCUAAAUCUCCUCUUCUUCAACAAAUCCUCCAGAACUAAGUAACAGCUUGAUAAUAAUCAAUCUAUACCGUCAAACUUAAAAUGAGAGGUUAAACUGUACACAGGAAUGAUAUUCCAAACAAUAUCAAGUGAUUAUCUGAUGGCUCACCAGCAUGCGGUGAGCAAAAUAUGACACAACCUAAGCAAAUAAACAUCACAAGAGAUAUUUUUAUGUCACGUAUUGGAAGUUCGAUAGGGAGAGGGAUUUCUGCCACCUAGAUAUCAACAGAACCAGCUAUAUUUAGGAGGGUUACAUAUGCCUGUUCUUCUACAAUAAUUGGGAUGAGAAAUUGUUUCAAAAGUCAUAAGUCACACCACAGCUGAACAACUAAUUCAUAUACUAGCAUUUACCUGUAAACUGCAAUUUGAAACUCAGCAUUUCAAAUUCUCCCAGCUAAGAAAGAUAAUGCUACAUGAUCAUUAACUUACCCCACAUAGAAAUAGGAUCCUUUUACCAGAACCAACUAUGCUGCCACCAAGUGCCUUGACAAAGAGUCUGAUGAAUUCAGGGUGUCCGUCAUAAGUAGGUACAGUGAUGAGAUUACCGUCAACAGUACAUGAGGCCAUAGUUUCUGGUUCUUCCCAAUGGGCACCAGCAGCAAGAAGCACCGGCUUCACAGCAGGAAAAGCUGUGCACUUUAGACCUUUGACCACAUCUGCAGCAGCCAGGAUCAAUUGUCCAUGACAGAUAGAAGCAAUUGGCUUUUUAGUGUUGGCAAAACUUUUCACCAAGUCCAACACAGAUCCAUUCAUGGCCAGGUAUUCUGGAGCACGUCCUCCUGGUAUGACCAAGCCAUCAUACUUUGUAGCCUCGAUUUCAUCAAAGGUUGCAUUAAGAGCAAAAUUGUGUCCGCGGGACUCUGUAUAUGUCUGAAACAAUUUUGGAACUAAAUAAAACUCUGCUGGCACAAAAUUAUUAAGACUAUCACCAGUUCAAAUGCUAUAACAAAUCAGCAGGAGAGUACUAGUGCAUUUCUUAAAGACAUGUGCACAAGUGAGCAUAGACAUAUAAUUUGGUUAAGGAAUUGUUGGAAAUUGUAUAAAACCUAGUAUUCCAAUUGACCAGCCUAUAUCUAGCCAAAUUGUUUAAGAAUCACUCUCCUUGACUAAGAAUUCAUCCACUACAUCUCUUGUCCUCAGUUGUAAAUUAUCCUGAGUUAAGUGAUCUGCAUAUAGAGACGCAUCAUCCAAUUCCUUGAAGCUAAAAACUGCACUUGAAGAUUCCAGUAUCGUAAGUUCUUCGCCCAUCAGCAAUGAAAGCUCAUUUAUUUCAUUGAAUUCAAACUCAUUAUUCAUAAAACAUGAACCUUUUGAAAUCUGGAUUAAUAUCCUUAAACAGAAAAUACCAAGUAAAGCUCAGAAAAAUAAAAGAACAUAGUCACACAGCAAGUUUCAACCUUUAACCGCAAUCAAGUACAAGUCGAUGAGGGACGCACAGAAGGGUUAGUUCUAAUCAUUGGACAUCUAAAAGUCCACCCAAAAACUACUAAAGAAAUACACCAUGGAUAAGAACCAUGCAGAUUCAAAAUCAUACUCCAAUAAUUCAUAAAGCCCGAACCGCAGACCUUACCUCUACCUUAUAGAUAGACCCUCGGCUCAAGACAAAAAGAGUCUAGAAAAAGACUGUACUGGAAGUACAAGAUAUAAUUAAGUAGAUCGUAGGAAUACACAGAAUGGCAAAUUAUAAUCAAUUUUUUUGAAGUCAACUCAAUCCACCUCAAUUCCAAAUAAGAUGAGAUCCACUAUAUUUAGGGUAUCCGUUGACCAACUCCAGAUUCACCAAUUAAAAACACUAGUAAAUAAUCACAUUACAUACUGCUUAGAAGAAGGAGAACUAUGCAGAUUCAAAAUUAACUGGUAAGAUGGAGCAAAAGAAAGUACCUGGUGAUGAGAAAGCUGAUGAACAGAAGUACGGCAAACAUCACCGGCUUUCUUUCCAGGACAAACAGCAUCAACGGCUACUCCAUAGGCUAGCAGAGCUUGAAAUGGUACCAUCACCUGAACAAUAUUAUAGUAAACAAGAAGAAAAUAAAAUCAGUGAACCAAUUAGUCAUUCUUAACAUGUAUACACAGUGAGGAUAGAAAAUCAAGAAUGUGAGAAAAAAAAAUGUUGUAAUACCUCAUAGUCUUCAACGUAAUCUCCACAUAGUAAGAGAACCCUUUUCUGAUUAGCCAUUUUUCAAGCAGUUAGGAGCUGAGGUUUAUCUCUCUCUCUCUUUGUGUGUGGAAGAGGUUAAGGAAUUGAUCCGUAUGUACUCGAAGAAGAAGAAGCUGACGAAAUGUUGCUCUCGAAAGAAGUGGUGGAGUAGUGCAACUGGAGAAGUUUUUUGAUAUAAUAGUAAAAAAAGGAUUUUAUUGCAAACAAGGUGGACGUGCCGGAGUGGUUAUCGGGCAUGACUAGAAAUCAUGUGGGCUUUGCCCGCGCAGGUUCGAAUCCUGCCGUCCACGCCUAUAAAAUAUUUUGCUCUAUUUUUAAGAAUUUAUUCCUUAUGGCUCGUGGCUUUGAAUUUUUGAUCCCAAUAAAAUAAGUCUUUAAAAACUAGUUUUUCUUCCUUUUUAAAUAUAAUACAAGUACAAGUUUGCCUCUCUACACCUCAAAUAUUUUAAAACUUUCCAUACUUAUUUGUCUCUCAAAUUCUAUUUUUAUUUUUAUUAUUUUCACUUUUUUUUCUUUAAUUUUAUUUUUAUAUUUGGAUGGCUUUAGGAGGAGAAAAGGUAGGCCGAAGAAAUAGUGGAGGGAAUUGAUUAGACAUGACAUGGAGCAGCUGCAGCUUACUGGGAACAUGACCCUAGAUAGGAAGGUGUGGAGGUCGCGGAUAAGAGUAGAAGGCUGGUGUGAGUGUGAGGGUUAUAGCAAGGUGUUACAUAGGGUUGUACAGACCAAACCAUCAAACCAAACCGAAGAACCAAACCAAAUCGAGAAAAAAAUCCGACUUAUGGUUUUGUUUGGUUGGUUUGGCGUUUGAAAAAAAAAACAAUCAUUCUUGAUUUGAUUUCAUGUUAACUAAAAAAGAAUCAAAGCGAACCCAAAUCAAACUGACAUAAUAUAUAUACAUAUAUAUGUGUGUGUGUGUAAGUAUGCAUAUAUAUAAUUUAACUUUUUAUACAUAAAAUAUUAAUUAUAAUCUACUUUUUCAAUUAGUUUUAUUAAUUUUCAAUAUUUAGAAAGUAGAUGUGUGUGUGUGUGUGUGUGUGUGUGUGUAUAUAUAUAUAUAUGCUAAUAAAAUGAUCCAAAAUUCAAUAUAAAAUUAAAACCUAAAUUUUUCACUCUUCAUCUUACUUUUAGUUUCAAGAGAGAAUUUCGCUCCUCAAUUUCUCAUAAUUGAGUCUUUUCACUAGCACAUGAGUGAAAACAUACUUGAUCUAGUCUUCAAUAGCAAUAUAAUUGUAAAAAAUAAAGAUUAUAAAAAAAAUGAGAAAACCCCCCAAAAAAAUGAAAGAACCGACUAAAAUCUAAACCGAAAAAAAUGAUUUUAUGUUGGUUUGAUUUGAUUUAUAGUUUUAAUAAAUCGACAUAGUUGGUUUGAUUUUUAUUCAAUAAUAAACCAAACCAACCCGACCUAUGUACACCCAUAAUGUUAGGAGAGCUCUUGUGUAGUCGGAUUAGUAAUCUUAGGACUGUGUCCAUUAGUAGGAGCCUCUAGUCAGGAGAGUUUGGGCAUG